AAAUUGAGACCGGCAAUAUGCGUGAUUGGGGAAUUCAUGUGGAGGUCAGAGUGGAAGCAGGUGUGAGAGGGUCCAGCAGAAGAAAACAUGGCUGCCAAAGUGUUUGAGUCCAUCGGCAAGUUUGGCCUGGCCUUAGCUGUUGCAGGAGGCGUGGUGAACUCAGCCUUAUGUAAUGUGGAUGCUGGGCACAGAGCUGUCACCUUUGACCGAUUCCGUGGAGUACAGGACAUUGUGGUAGGGGAAGGGACUCACUUUCUCACCCAUGGGUACAGAAACCUGUUAUCUUUGACUGCCGUUCUCGGCCACGUGAUGUGCCAGUCAUCACUGGUAGCAAAGAUUUACAGAAUGUCAACAUCACACUGCACAUCCUCUUCCGGCCCAUUGCUAGCCAGCUGCCUCACAUCUUCACCAGCAUCGGAGAGGACUAUAAUGAGCGUGUGCUGCUGUCCAUCACGACCAAGAUCCUCAAGUCAGUGGUGGCUGGCUUUGAUGCUGGAGAACUAAUCACCCAGAGAGAGCUGGUCUCCAGGCAGGUGAGCGACGACCUUACAGAGAGAGCAGCCACCUUUGGGCUCAUCCUGGACGAUGUGUCCUUGACACAUCUGACCUUCGGGAAGGAGUUCACAGAAGCGGUGGAAGCCAAACAGGUGGCUCAGCAGGAAGCAGAGAGGGCCAGAUUUGUAGUGGAAAAGGCUGAGCAGCAGAAAAAGGUGGCUAUCAUCUCUGCUGAGGGCGACUCCAAGGCAGCUGAGCUGAUUGCCAACUCACCGGCCACCACAGGGGACGGCCUGAUCGAGCUGCGAAAGCUGGAAGCCUCGGAGGACAUACCAGCUGUCACGCUCUCGGAACAUCACCUACCUGCCGGUGGGGCAGUCCGUGCUCCUCCAGCUGCCCCAGUGAAGGCCCACCCUACCUGCA